GGUCUUAUAUUCAUUUAUGAUAUUAGAAUGCAAUUCUAAAGGUAUAAGGAAUAAUACAAUUAUUAAGACUU
rnacentral:tRNA from 1 species